GAUGAAGAACGCAGCGAAAUGCGAUAAGUAGUGUGAAUUGCAGAAUUCAGUGAAUCAUCGAAUCUUUGAACGCACAUUGCGCCUUCUAGUAUUCUGGGAGGCAUGCCUGUUUGAGCGUCAUUAAACCUCUCUCAAGUAUGAUUACUUGGAUGUGAAGGAAGAGUACCUUAAACUUAAGGAGUGUUCUCCUUUGAAAUUGAUUAGCAGAUGGUAAUGUUAUUAAAUCCCUGAUGUUGUAAGAAAUAACAGUGGUUUUGUAGACUAUUAUCUAGCUUUAAAUUAUAAUUUUUAUUAUGGUUGACCUCAAAUCAGCUAAGGAUACCCGCUGAACUUAAGCAUAUCAAUAAGCGGAGGA
rnacentral:misc_RNA from 1 species